UCGCACGAGAAAGCAGGAGCAAUCUUGUGAGUAAAGUGGCGUACGGGUGAGUAACACGUGGAUCAUCUACCUUUUAGUGGGGAAUACCCCUGGGAAACCGGGGACAAUACCGCAUAAGCUCGUAAGAGGAAAGCCGAAAGGCGCUGAAAGAGGAGUCCGCGGCUGAUUAGCUAGUUGGCGGGGUAACGGCCCACCAAGGCGAAGAUCGGUAGCCGGCCUGAGAGGGCACACGGCCACACUGGCACUGAAACACGGGCCAGACUCCUACGGGAGGCAGCAGUGGGGAAUCUUGCACAAUGGAGGAAACUCUGAUGCAGCGACGCCGCGUGAGCGAUGAAGCCCUUCGGGGUGUAAAGCUCUUUCGACGGGAACGAUAAUGACGGUACCCGAAGAAGAAGCUGCGGCUAACUACGUGCCAGCAGCCGCGGUAAUACGUAGGCAGCGAGCGUUGUUCGGAAUUACUGGGCGUAAAGAGUGUGUAGGCGGUGCUCUAAGUCUGUUGUGAAAUCUCCCGGCUUAACUGGGAGGGUGCGGCGGAAACUGGAAUGCUAGAGUGUGGGAGAGGUAAGCGGAAUUCCUGGUGUAGCGGUGAAAUGCGUAGAUAUCAGGAGGAACACCUGUGGUGUAGACAGCUUACUGGACCACGACUGACGCUGAUACACGAAAGCGUGGGUAGCAAACAGGAUUAGAUACCCUGGUAGUCCACGCCCUAAACGAUGCAUACUUGGUGUGAGCGAUUCAUUUCGUUCGUGCCGGAGCUAACGCGUUAAGUAUGC
rnacentral:rRNA from 1 species